rnacentral:lncRNA from 1 species
AAACACAAGAUGGAAUCCCUAGAUGAAACCCUUUAUAAAAUCCUUUUGAUGAAAUCCCUUGAUGAAACCCUUUGGUAGAAAUCUGGUAAAACCCCUUGAUAGAACCCCUUGAUGAAACUCCUCAUAGAAUCCUUUGAUGAAACCCCUGAUAGAAUCCUUUGAUGAAACCCCUGAUAAAAUCCUUAGUGAAACCCACAGUGUAAACCUAGUGGAAUCCUGGUGGAACCCUUUCAUAAAACCAUGAUGAAACCCUUAAUACCUUUGAUGAAACCUAUUAAUG